UCUUCUUCCUCAGAUCCUCGUCUUCUUCUCUCUCUCUCUCUCUCUCUCAUCUCCGAUGGGCAGCUCCAAAGAGCCACCCCCUUCCACUCCACUCUACCCGACCCGUCUCCUCUUCUCUCCCCAAUUUACCUUUCCACGUACUCCAUCUCCCGCCCGGUCAAAUUGUCGCGAUCCCGAUUUUCGAUUCCUUUGUCACCCCUGGCUACUUCUCCAAGUCGGCGCCAUCUUUCUACAAAAACCGACAAGUGAACAUCAGUUUUUGAUCCGGACACAUAUGACCCACCAUUUGCUUCUUCCUCAGCGCCAAAGUCAAAGCCUCAGCCGAAAAUUUUACUAAAAAGGAGAGGCUAACGGCGAUGAAGACGGUUUGGUUACAGAUGCAAUUGCAGAGCAACAGAAUCGGAGCCAGGAGAGUAAAAGAGCCAAGAAAUUCGACCAACCCGGAUUCCGGAGCCUCGGCUACCGAAACCGAUCUGGGGAAGUUCGGGCUAUACUACGACGACAGAGUAGGGUUGGGUAAAAGAGCAGUGGAGGUUACCGGGAGGCAGAUUCGCUGUGGGGAGGUUCACCGGAGGUAGAAGAGCGGCAGAUGUUCACUGAUAUUUUGGGUAUUGGUGGAAUGCCUACAUGAUGAAGUUAGGGUAUUGGAGUUGCCCAUCGGAGCUCAGAGAGAGAAGGUGGUAGGCAGGUAUGGAUUUGUGCAGGGUAGUAGAAGAUUAGGAUGUAAGGGGGGCGGUGAUUUUGGUUGCCGGAGAUCGAAGAAGAAGAAGAGGAAGAUGAGAUUGAUUUCUAAGCCGGGGAUACAAGCGUAAUUUUGCCCUCAAGCUUGGGUCCACGUCAGCAGUUAAUGUCCAAUUUGGACGGAACUUGAGACAUUGGACACGGUAGAUUGAAAUUGGAAAACUCAGGGGGAAACUGAUUAAAUUGAGAGUACAGGGACUGAAAUAAAGUUACCCCCAAACCUCAGGGGGUAAACUGAAUUUAAUCCUUGAUUUUAUUAUUUUGGAUUAGAUUUUGGUCAAGAAACUGUGAUGUAAUCAUUGGCUACUAUUAAUAAAGUAUUGAUUCAUUUUA